ACCAAAACAAUGCAGCCUCAUGGUGUGAGGGAUCCUCCUGCUAUAGGUCAGUCCACCUACCCCUCCUCUGUUCCCUGUAAACCCAUCAGCCACCCCAGAGCCAACAAGUACAGCUUCCACAACAGGAAGUGUCCAACUCCUGGUUGUGAUGUUC